AACGAACGCUGGCGGCAUGCCUAACACAUGCAAGUCGAACGAGACCUUCGGGUCUAGUGGCGCACGGGUGCGUAACGCGUGGGAACCUGCCCUUAGGUUCGGAAUAACUCCCCGAAAGGGGUGCUAAUACCGGAUAAUGUCUUCGGACCAAAGAUUUAUCGCCGUUGGAUGGGCCCGCGUUGGAUUAGCUAGUUGGUAGGGUAAAAGCCUACCAAGGCGACGAUCCAUAGCUGGUCUGAGAGGAUGAUCAGCCACACUGGGACUGAGACACGGCCCAGACUCCUACGGGAGGCAGCAGUGGGGAAUAUUGGACAAUGGGCGAAAGCCUGAUCCAGCAAUGCCGGGUGAGUGAUGAAGGCCUUAGGGUUGUAAAGCUCUUUUACCCGGGAUGAUAAUGACAGUACCGGGAGAAUAAGCUCCGGCUAACUCCGUG
rnacentral:rRNA from 1 species